rnacentral:sRNA from 1 species
AUACAAAAAGGGCAGGACCUGAGAAAGAUUAAGCUGCAGGCUCCCUGCCCAUAAAACAGGGUGUGAAAGGCAUCUCAGCGGCUGCCCCACCAUGGCUACCUGGGCCCUCCUGCUCCUUGCAGCCACGCUCCUGGGCAACCCAGCCCCUGCCUCCGCAUCUGCGUGGUGAAGGCCAUUGGCCCUCAUCAGUGGAUCUGCGUUUCCUCGGGCCUACACUGUCUAGGAUUGUGCAGGGCUGGUGAGAGAACAAGAUCUCUUCCGUGUUCAAGGCAGACUUCCCGCCCCCCGCACUCUGCUCUCUCCCAGGCCUUGGGGUCUGGUCUUCUCUCGUCUGAGCCCUGAGUACUACGACCUGGCAAGAGCCCACCUGCGUGAUGAGGAGAAAUCCUGCCCGUGCCUGGCCCAGGAGGGCCCCCAGGGUGACCUGUUGACCAAAACACAGGAGCUGGGCCGUAACUACAGGACCUGUCUGAUGAUAAUCCAAAGACUGAAGGAUAUGGUGGAGGAUCAGCCCACCCAGGUGAGGCCAAGGGGCUACAGAGCCUCCUGUCUGCUGCUCAAUGGAGGGGCCAGCCUGUGACCAGGUCGGGGAUCGGGGAGCCCGGGGGCACCUUGCACAGUGAUCCUGGGGGAGGGCUUCCGAGAAGGGAAUCUGUGAGUCCCCGUGUGUCUGUGGAUGAAUUUCAGAGAACUUGUGAAAUUGUGACUCUCUGGAACUGUGUAAGUCAGACGGCAGAGUAUACAUGGUUUUCAUCAUGUAUCCUCAAAGAGGGCUUGUCCCAGAGAAGUUAGGAAUCUUCCCCUAAAGCCCUAACGUUUGUGUCCAAGGCAGAGUUUGAGAAGCUAGUUCCCCAAGAGGCCUGGGUCAGGACUGAUAAAUCCCAGAUCUGCUACUUCCAAGCUGCAUGGCCUUGGGCAAGUCACUUCCACUUUCUGAGCCUCUGUUAUCUUAUCUUUG